UAUGCCACAGCCCUGGUAGCACAGUAGUGCUAAGGUGCUAAUGCACGUUAGCUUGUGCAAAAAAACGGACUUGGAAAGAAGUUUCAGCUCCUACUCUCUGUGGCAGCUGUGGAGAUUCUGAUGCUUCUGGAAGUUCACAACUACAACAUAGUACAUCACAGCAGAUUACACAGACAACAAGCUCCAGUAUCGCAACGAGUGUACCAAGGUUCCAUGACGAGGUUGGGUGGCAGACAGACUCCCCACAAGUCUCAGAGGCCACACAGACAUACCUACCUCCAAAGGGGUCAUCAGUCCACACACAGUUGGCCUGGGGUACACUAAGGGACAAGCAAAGGACAGCUGGUCUAUAAGGUGGCAUUCCUCAAAUCCAAAAAAAAAACAGACACAACAUGCAGACGACACACGACAGGAUAACCACUCUGCAGUGUCCAAAGAAUCUCCAGCACCACCUCACAAAGCUGCGAUGAGCUGCCAAGUGUCUGCACAGCCUGUAUGGAGACAAUAUAGUUGGAUGUAAAAAUGUGACUUCUCAUUGUAUAUUUACACCUAUAGUUCUACACAUUUAAAUGGUUUUUUAACCUUAGCUGAGAAUAAAGAACUGUCAACAAA